UACGAAGGGGGCUAGCGUUGCUCGGAAUCACUGGGCGUAAAGGGCGCGUAGGCGGCGUUUUAAGUCGGGGGUGAAAGCCUGUGGCUCAACCACAGAAUGGCCUUCGAUACUGGGACGCUUGAGUAUGGUAGAGGUUGGUGGAACUGCGAGUGUAGAGGUGAAAUUCGUAGAUAUUCGCAAGAACACCGGUGGCGAAGGCGGCCAACUGGACCAUUACUGACGCUGAGGCGCGAAAGCGUGGGGAGCAAACA
rnacentral:rRNA from 1 species